rnacentral:rRNA from 1 species
GACGAACGCUGGCGGCGUGCCUAACACAUGCAAGUCGAACGGAGAUACGAUUUCGGUUGUAUCUUAGUGGCGAACGGGUGAGUAACGCGUGAACAACCUGACUCUUAGAGGGGGAUAACACUCGGAAACGGGUGCUAAUACCGCAUAAGACCACGACCCGGCAUCGGGAUGAGGUCAAAGGAGCAAUCCGCUGAGAGAGGGGUUCGCGUCCCAUUAGAUAGAUGGCGGGGUAACGGCCCACCAUGCCAACGAUGGGUAGCCGAGCUGAGAGGCUGAUCGGCCACACUGGAACUGCGACACGGUCCAGACUCCUACGGGAGGCAGCAGUGGGGAAUAUUGGGCAAUGGGCGCAAGCCUGACCCAGCAACGCCGCGUGAGGGAAGAAGGCUUUCGGGUUGUAAACCUCUGUCCUUGGUGACGAAACAAAUGACGGUAGCCAAGGAGGAAGCCCCGGCUAACUACGUGCCAGCCGCCGCGGUAA